ensembl:snoRNA
GGUCAAUGAUGUAAUGGCAUGUUAUUAGCUGAAUCCAAAGUCGGUAAGAGUUCUAAAAUUACACUGAGGUUGG